rnacentral:rRNA from 1 species
CCAGCAGCCGCGGUAAUUCCAGCUCCAAUAGCGUAUAUUAAAGUUGUUGCAGUUAAAAAGCUCGUAGUUGGAUUUCUGGCAGGAGCGACCGGUCUCACACUCUGUGUGAGAACUCGUGUUGUCUCGCGACCAUCAUCGGGGAGAGCUUAUCUGGUAUUCAUUUAUUGGGUAAGGGAUCCUCGUCAUUUACUGUGAGCAAACUAGAGUGUUCAAAGCAGGCUUAUGCCGUUGAAUACAUUAGCAUGGAAUAAUAAGAUAUGACCUCGGUCUAUUUUGUUGGUUUGUAUUCCAAGGUAAUGAUUAAUAGGGACAGUUGGGGGUAUUCGUAUUCAAUUGUCAGAGGUGAAAUUCUUGGAUUUAUGGAAGACGAACUACUGCGAAAGCAUUUACCAAGGAGGUUUUCAUUAAUCAAGAACGAAAGU